AAGUCGGGGUAGAAAGAAGCAGAACCAGUCAGACAGUCUACAAUAGAAGAAUAUUCAGCUCUUGCACCACUUGGGGGAAGGUAACGACUUUGAACCUUUCACUUCCAUUUUCCGGAGGGAAUCUAGAAGGAACCUAGCAUGGGCGAGGCGUCACAUUGGGACGCCAUCUAAUGUACAUGCCUGUCCCUCUCCAGUCCUGGCAGGGCUCUAGGGGUCCAGGAUGGGCCAGUCUGCAGUAGAGGUGAGAGAGUGAUCACAGCGGGUAGAGGCCGGCAAGCCAGGUGGGCGCCCUGGACUCUAGGGCUCCUGCAGCAGGGAGGACCGCAGGGGGCGCUGCGCGUGGCAAGUGCAGGCACCUGCGAUAAGACCCCGCGUGCGGACGAGAUACUCCGCCCUGCGGCGAGAGGGAGGGCUGGUGAGCGUUGGCCUUCGGCCUUCGUCUCCCAACGCUCCGGGGCGAGGCUGGACUUUCCACAGUUAGCUGGACGAGGGGAGUCUUGAGAAAUGGCGUUUUGUUGUAAUCGGGUGUGUGCCACUCCCCGGCCCUGAACCGAAUGUGCAAGAAAGAUUGGAGGUUGUGAAAUCCAAAUCGGAAGACGCUGCCUCACUGCGGAUACUGUGCCGGCCUUAUCUGUCUGUCCUCCCAGCAUGGUUAAAGAAAAUUAAAAGUGGAUGUUCCAGCCCUUUCGGAUGAACUGCAACCCUGACAACUUCACUGCAACUGCGUGAGAGACCCUGUGCCACAGCUCCCCAGAGCUACCCGGCAAAGCGGCUUCCUGAUCCUUGGCCCUCAGAAACCCUGAGUUUAUGCUCAGAAAGACGUUCCUGUACUGAAAUCAGAGGUGGAGGGGAGCCAAAAGAACACUGAUGAAGCUUACAUUGUUCCAACUAUUCCGGCUCUAUCUUAAAUAUGGUGGCGGAACCUCAUUCAACCCUGUGGCCCCCAUGCACCACCACCCUGAAGCUUUCAAUCUGCAGACACUCUGGGAAGGGAAUAUCUGUUGGAUGAAUGUGCACCUCCUAUUCUAAUGGUUUGCUCUGUCCUGGUGUGGCUGGAGACAUAACGAGACCCACAAAUCAGCUCUUGGACAGCAGACCUCCUUCAGGGCAGGAAGCUCCAAGGGAGAGGAGUGAGUGACCUGAGAGCUGAAACACACAGUGCUUAUUUUUGAGAGAGAGAAAGAGAGCAGGAGAGAGUGGAGGGGCAGAG